rnacentral:misc_RNA from 1 species
GUGAAGAACGUAGCGAAAUGCGAUAAGUAAUGUGAAUUGCAGAAUUCAGUGAAUCAUCGAAUCUUUGAACACACAUUGCGCCCCUUGGUAUUCCGGGGGGCAUGCCUGUUCGAGCGUCAUUUCAACCCUCAAGCUCUGCUUGGUAUUGGGCACCGUCCUUUGCGGGCGCGCCUCAAAGACCUCGGCGGUGGCGUCUUGCCUCAAGCGUAGUAGAAUACACCUCGCUUCGGAGCGUAAGGCGUCGCCCGCCGGACGAACCUUCUGAACUUUUCUCAAGGUUGACCUCGGAUCAGGUAGGGAUACCCGCUGAACUUAAGCAUAUCAAUAAGCGGAGGA